UUGGUGCACAGGGGUAACCCUACAGAUAUGGGAUUUUAACUCGGCUCAGAAGAUCAAAGAUGUGCCACCAGACCCAUUAAACAACUCUAUGGUCUAUUGUUGCCAGUGGCUAGGCAAUGAAAGCAUCAUAUGUGGAGGACACAAUCACAACCUGGCCAGAAUUAUAGAUAGAGGAACUUUAAAUACUACAAGUCAGCUACUGGACCUUCAACAAAGUGUAUAUUGCCUGGACAAUGACCAUAAAGGCAAUCAUCCUAAAGUUGCCAUAGGUAGUCAGAAUUUCAUCUAUAUAGUCAAGGAGGAAAAGAAAGCCAGCUGAUUGGAUAUUGGAUAAAAAUCUCACUCAGGGGCUUUUCAGGGUACCUUGAACAGAAGCCCGAUGUGGACUGUCAUCCAGAGAACAGACAUUGACUCAUAUACUCUACAUUGUAGUGUUUAAUUUAAAGUAGUAAUGUUUACACUAAGGUGUGCUCAUUUAUGCAUAUUGUGACAUUAAAACACAAGUUUAUUUCAUUAAUAUUAAAUUACUGGCUGAAACAUGCUCAUUUGAUUGGUUGAGACGGCUGCACAUUAGAGGCCGCAAAAACAAGUAAUGACUCGAGACAAUACUAUAUACAUAUAGUAAAUGAUUCUAAAGAUUGAAUACUGUAAAAGCAGAAAUUUUCGGGAGGGUUUAAUUUUGCUAUAUUUGCGAGGCUCUACAUCUCGCGAAAAUUAAUCCUCACAUAAAUGUUCACCAUUAGUAUGAUUCAGAUUCAAGUAGGAUACUAUUUUUACAAUUUCGCGAAUAUCAAACCUCGCGAACAUACUCAAAACUUUAAAUUCACAAAAUUUUGACCUAGCGAACAUAUGUGCUUCUGCAGUAUAUAGUGCAGCCUCUGUAAAGCGAACACUGCAGGGAAGAUUGAUAUACAGAGGUUGUUGCUCUGGGGCAAACACCACAAUGAAGAUAAAGAGGUUUAAUUUACUGAAAAAUUUAUUUGACUGGACCAAAACUACAGUCAGACCUGUCUUAAGCAGCCAGUCAGGGGAAGGAACAAAAGUUGGCUUUUAAGACAUGUUGUUGCUCAAUACAGGUUAAUUUCCUUUGAAAGUAUAGAAAUAGGAAUGGCAAAUGUGACUGCUCAAGGCAAAUGGCUGCUUAAUAGAGGUGACUGCUUACACAGGUUUGACUGUACAUACAUUUGUACCUUUGUUGAGAAAUAUCUGUUUUACAGAGGUGUCAGAAAUAAAGGUUUAACAGUACAUGUACUUGUACAACUUGAAUUAUAAAGACAUGUUUCCUGUUUAUUUGGUCUAUAAAUUUAUGGCUCAAGAAUUAUUAGUUUAAACAUAUAUUUGUACAUUUUCAAUUUGAAAGUAACAAAUUACAAAGCGCAUUAAUUAGGAUCAGAGCAGACGGGUGAUGCAUAUUAAGGUCUCAAGAAUUACUGUUACAGUACAAGAAAUUAAUAUGUAUAUAUAUGUAAUAUUGGUUGAUAUUGUUAAGAAAUCUGUAAAUAGUAUAUGAUGUAAAUGUUAGGUUGUUAUAGAAAUAUUGGCAGAUUUUAUGAUGUUAGACCAAAUGAUAAGUAUAUUGAUGGCUGUCUCAUUCAAGAUGCUGAACCUUCAGUUACAACAGUUUCCAUGUUGUUUGUUUGUUCUUGUUUUUUUUUCACAUCAUUAAACAUGGGAAUUCAUAGUAUGUCUUUGGAAAAUGAUAAAUCUCUGAUCCAUUAGAAAAGCCAAAUCCAUCAUCUGAAAAAAAAUUCAAAAUUCUGCUAAAAGUUAAUUAUUUAUACAUUCAUAACCAUGGAGACCAGUGAUGGUUAUUCAGAAUGUAGUGUAAUUACUAAUGAUAAUUAUAUUGCAUGUAUUGUUUUUUGCUCUGAUUGAAAUAUAGUCAAACCUUUGCUAAACACCGUCUCUGUAUAAAGACCACUGCUAUAAAAGCCUUUAUUUUUUUCUACCUAUUUAACCAUAAGUAGUGUAAAUUUACCUGUGUUUAAAGACCACCUGUCAACAAAGACCACUUUUUCAUUUCCCAAGGGUGGUCUUUACGGAAGGGUUAGACUGUAUUGCAAAGACUCUUGUAGAAUCUGGCAAAACAAUUACAGAUUUUUAUAUUUUUAUGGGCAUUUUGUCACUCGCUGUUAAAUUGUUGUAAACUGUUGUUUGAAAAAUGAAAUUAUACAUACACUGAUGUAUUAAUAUCAUAGCAUUAUUAUCAGACUUGUAAAUGUUUGUUGUGAUAUAAUAUGUGUGUUUUAAUUGCUCAAAGCAUACAACUGAAAAUAACUCUAGAUUGUAUACCAUUUAUAUGUCCCAGAAGGGAGAAUUGAAGAAACUGCAUUGUCCAUCUGUGUGUUAGUUAGUUUGCCUGUGAUGUAUUGUUUGUCCAAAACAUUUCAUGUCUCAGCUUCAAUUUUGAAACGGUUAAAGAGAUUCCAGUGAGAUGUGUUACUUGCAAGAGUCAGGUUAGUACCUGCAAGGUCACAGUCAAGGUCACUUGGGUUAGGGUUGCAUAACAUGUUUGGCAAUAUAAAUACAGUGCCAUGAAAUGGUCACCUCAGUUGCAUUCUUUAACUCAGUUUUCACAUCCCUUAAUUGUUUAAUAGCUGGUAUCCAGUACAUAUCAGACAUACUACACUUCCUUUGAUGCAGGCAUGAGCACAAAUUGUCUGUUAAAACAAGCAUAAGAAGAAUGACAUUACUGUGUUUAUGAAUGGAAUUAGCACCCUUAGAUUCUUAAAAUGGAUGCAGUAUUAUAAAGAAAUCAAAAAAGUAUUGGUGCUGAUUGUAAGUGAAAGAGGUAACAAUUACUGAGAGGAUGGAAUGUGUGGAUUUUCUCUUUUGUCCUUAUUCCUUUCAUCCAAGUAUUGAUAAGAAACCAGUGUGAGUUUAAACAUAUUUUUUAAAAGAUGUGAAAAGUGACAUGAUAUCAGCUUCAUACAGUUUGCAGUACUGGUAGGCACAUGUUGAAGAUAAGUUUUUUUAAUAAAGUUAGACCAAUAGGCAGAGCGGAAAUCUAUGAACCUAGAUUUGUGGUAACGAUCUCGGGGUAGGGUGACGUAAAUGUUUUCAAUUACAAUUUUACAAUGAGUAAAGUGAAGUGUCCUCCACUUUUGUUUCAUAGUUUCUUGAAGAAAACGGGUCAGUACUGGAAGUGCUUGUUAGAAUUAAAUGUCUGCUGUUAAAUAACUGAAUUACUAUGGUAAAACUAGGAAUUGCACGUCAAAAAUAAGAAUUAUCAUUUUCCUUUAACCCUUAGCCUGCUGGCGGCAGAUGAUUCUGCCUUUGCGACCAGUGCAGACCAAGAUCAGCCUGCACAUCCGUGCAGUCUGAUCAUGGUCUGCACUGUUCGCUAUUCAGUCAGUAAAUUUUCAGUGCAAACCCCUUUGAAUAAUAAAUGGUAUGGUCCAAACUGAAAGAUGGACCAGUCCAUUAUAGAAAUACAGCAGGGUAAGGGUUAAACAGAAUACAACACCUGUAGACUUUUGUCAAUACUUAUAAGCUUAUUGAGGUUAUUUCAUUUCCUGCCUCAAAGUGAAGCAGCAAAGAUAUAUUGUUCAAACUGAGAGGUAAUUAAAAAGAUAUUAAAUGCAGGGAUAUUUUGUAAAGACAAAACGAGCUUUAAUCUUUGAGCUUUUAGCUUGUUAAGCAAACGUUUACUAUGUUUUGCAAAUAUUGUAAAAUUAUAGCUGUACAUUUAUGUUUGAUAUUUAUUUUACUUCUGUUUUAUUCAGUACCAUUGUUUAAUUUUUUUAAUCCUUAAUUUAUGCUUUGGUAGUAAGUCCUAGCUUUGAAAAUUGAAAACUUACAUUUUUUGUUCAUAAUUGUUUCUUGAAUUACUUAUAAUGUUCUAGUUAGGAAAUAUCUGUAUGUUUAGUAUGUUAUUGAAUAAGUUAUGAACAUCUGUCCAAUAUUGUAAAACCCAACUCAUUCAUUCAUUCCGUCCAAUAUUGCUUUAUUUUUUUUAAUACUUUGAAGAAAGUGCUGCAAGAUUUUCAUACUGUUGAUGCAAGUGAUUUUUAACAUUAAAUACUAAAGUUUGUCUUACUAUUGAAAUAAAUGUAACUUGUGUUUGAA